rnacentral:miRNA from 1 species
ACUCAAACCGUGGGGGCACUUU